rnacentral:lncRNA from 1 species
UCUCAGACCCCGGAGUUCAUCAUCUCGGAGCCGCUGGCCAAUAUGUACUCAUGUGGGAACCAGAACACACUGAUGGAGGAGUUGGCAGAGCAGGCACAGCAGCAUGACGAGAUGCUGCACAUGCACCACGCGCUGAAGGAGGCGCUCAGCAUCAUCGGUGACAUCAACAGGACCACUGUCACCAUGCCCAUGCCCCCGCCCGUGGACGACACCUGGUUGUCAGA